UACGUAGGGUGCGAGCGUUAAUCGGAAUUACUGGGCGUAAAGCGUGCGCAGGUGGCGUCGCAAGUCAGGCGUGAAAUCCCCGAGCUCAACUUGGGAAUUGCGCUUGAAACUACGGUGCUGGAGUGCGGCAGAGGGAGGUGGAAUUCCACGUGUAGCGGUGAAAUGCGUAGAGAUGUGGAGGAACACCGAUGGCGAAGGCAGCCUCCUGGGUCGACACUGACGCUCAUGCACGAAAGCGUGGGGAGCAAACAGG
rnacentral:rRNA from 1 species